rnacentral:rRNA from 1 species
UGGGGAAUAUUGGACAAUGGGCGCAAGCCUGAUCCAGCAAUACCGCGUGUGUGAAGAAGGCCUGAGGGUUGUAAAGCACUUUCAAUGGGAAGGAAUACCUGCCGGUGAAUACCCGGCAGACUGACAUUACCCAUACAAGAAGCACCGGCUAACUCCGUGCCAGCAGCCGCGGUAAUACGGAGGGUGCGAGCGUUAAUCGGAAUUACUGGGCGUAAAGCGUGCGUAGGCGGUUCGUUAAGUCAGAUGUGAAAGCCCCGGGCUUAACCUGGGAACGGCAUUUGAUACUGGCGGACUCGAGUUUAAUAGAGGGGAGUGGAAUUUCAGGUGUAGCGGUGAAAUGCGUAGAGAUCUGAAGGAACACCAGUGGCGAAGGCGACUCCCUGGAUUAAAACUGACGCUGAGGUACGAAAGCGUGGGUAGCAAACAGGAUUAGAUACCCGGGUAGUCCCUGAGCGGGCUGGCAAGGCGCAU